AGAAUUCACUCUCUUUAUCACGAAAAAAAAAAUCGAGAGCAAGACGAAAAAGACGAAGAGGAAGGAGAUCUUAGGGACCUUGGUAUGAAUGGGUUUUCUGUGAUCGGACAUAGAGGAAAUGGUAUGAAUGUGUUGCAAUCUUCUGAUCGGAGAACCAGAGGGUUAUAAAGAAAACUCUAUCCUCUCUUUCAAUUCCGCAGCCAAGUUUCCGAUCGAUUUCAUUGAGUUCGACGUUCAGGGUGUUGUUAAUGAGAGUAGAGUGACUGACUUGAGCCUUUCUGAGUUUCUCCUCUAUGGACCUCAGAACGAAGCAGGAAGCAAGAGGAGAUAGCCAACUGCGUUGAGCACUGCAGUGUUCCCGUUGUCAAAAUACCUGGCUUUGGAUCGGUCUGAUUGCUCUGCAGCUGUCUGGUCAAGAACGGGAAGCUUGACAGUUGCAUCAAGUUGUUUGACCAGAUGAAGCGCGAUGGUCUUAAACCAGAUGUUGUUACCUAUAAUACGGUUUCAUCAAGGUGAAAAAUGGGUUCCCUAAGGCUAUGGAACUCGUUGGAGAGCUGCCACAUGGUGGAUGCUGUUUCAAUUGUGGGGGAGUACCUGAAGGCAGAGCCUUGGUUGAAGCUUCUCUAUGAUCAUCUUGGUCUGGAAUUUGUUGACUCAACGAUAAAAGAAACCAAUACAGAGAAUCUUCCAAAUGCAAAUGAGAAUAUGAUGGAAUACUCAAAUUCAUUACAGCGAAAAUGUCUGCCAUUGUUGAAGAGAAGAAAGACUCCGUACUUAUUGCAUCAAUAAAUGGCGUCUUGAUCUCUAAUAUUCCCUCACGUUUCUGCAAAUCACUCAUAUCCCUCCACCAAUAGCACUAACUGCGUCUGCUUUUACGGAAAGCAAUUGCAGAGCUAACAACGGAACCAAGGGAGAAGUUGCGUCUUGCUGGCUUGUCAUGUAAAAAUCAGACCAGAGGUUGAUGCAAAUAUGGUUAUAGACAAGAUUAUUAGUUACAUCAAAACAGAACACAACAUAACUCGCAUAAUUAUUCAGAUUGAACGCCAACAAUAUCACGUGACAAUGAACUUUCAACUUUUUUUACAAUAUUGUUAAAUAUGUUUGUGUUUCUCCCAUUGCACAAAGUGUGAUUUUUACUAAAUAUAAAUCGUAUAACUUUAUCUUGCUAUCCAUUCUGUUAAACUAUGUUCACAGUUAUGUACUUGUUACGAGCAUCAUCUAAGAGGUUUUGUUAAGUUCAUAGAAUCAUAGUCGAUGGGCCAAAGCAAACAAAACUAACGAUUCAAACCAAGAAAGGAGUGGACAGUUACAUCAAUCAGUCAUCACGCAAACCCGAGCUCAAGCAAGAAAAACAAAAAAGGAAUGCAAUCUCAUGCUGACUUUCAGGGUGGUUUAGAAUUAAUCACUGAGCAACCAAAUAAACAAAGAUCAAAAACGGAAUGAUAGUAGCAAAUAACAAAGACGAAACAUUACAAAGCUGCUUCUCAGAUAAUGAGCCAAAAGCUUCCACAUAUAAGAGCUUGAGAAGAUGUCAAGGUUCUUCAAUGUUUAAACUAAGAAAAUGUCUAAUAAAGAUCAACAAGAUGGAAAUAAAGAAUCCCCUUAAUCUAAACCACGAAGGAGAAAACCUUCAAGCAACUUAGAUCAAGGUGUCUCAAAGAAAACGUUGAGACUAAUCAAACAUUCCCUGAUAUGAAUCAACAAAAUGCCAUGUCACAUUCU